AACUCGAGAUGGACGAGUGUGGCUACCCAGACAUGCGUCAUUAGUAAUGAUGGGGUGUGAAGCUCUGGGGACAACGUACCCACAGAGGAGACUAUACUCCUGUUGGGGGCUAGCCAAAACUCCUAUGGUAA
rfam:Archeaon Loki Lokiarch_contig000072, whole genome shotgun sequence.